AUAAAGACAUAAACUUCAACCAACAACCUUGUUAUGCUAAUAUAAGCUUUUCCCAAGGAUAUGUAACUCAAAAGGAUUUCCAUCCCAUUAUUAACCUCUCCAAAAAAAGUAAUAAUAAUAUUGGUCAUAAAAUUACCAAAGUAUUGUUACUCCCACAAGGGGGAGACAUUGUGUAGACUUUACAAUAAGCAGUUAUUCACCUAUAGUUAGUGUUUAGUUUACCAGUUCUCAGGUCAGCCUUUUCUCAUUCAAGUGUUUGUGUACAUUUUUAUAAUAAAAGGCUUUUUUUCACCUGGUAAUCAGUUUUUUGGCCUGACAGUUCUGCCCGAGUUAGACUCUGGCUCUCACUCAAAUGUUCUGAUUUGGCCACAUUUCUUUCCCAUCGAUGAUCACUCUUGCACCGAUAAAAAAAAAUGCAGUUUUCCCUGCCUUUCGAGCUGCAGCCACCAUCGGCCACAGUUUCUCUCUUGUCACUUUGUCUGCUGAGGUCAGAUCCUCCGUGAACCUCAAUUUUUGUUUGAUGAGGAAUUCACAAUUCUUUGCUCGCCUCCAAAGAACAACCCGUGUAGAUAUGUUGGUGAACCGGAUGAUGGUUGUCCUUGGUCUCUUGUCUUGAUCCUUAAGUCUUCCCAAACGAUGGACGAUGUCUACAUUUUCCUGAAGUUUGGCUUUUGAUUCGGGAAUGACAGCUCCACAGAUGUCAACAACUCUGCAUUUGAUGUCCUCACCCGCCUGCUCUGGAAUUCCAUGGAGCCUCAGGUUCCACCUGUGCUCGUAUCUCUCCGCCUCAUUCACCUUUUGCUCGAGUUCAGCCACCUUCUUUUCAUUUUCCUGGCAGAUAACUUCUACUUUCUUCAUGUCACUUUUGAGGGUUUUCACUUCUCCAAAGAUAAAGUCAACAGAUUUUUUACAGGCCUCAAUUUUCAUCGUAUUCUCCCUAACCAUGACCUCCAAGCCAUUUGCCCUUUCAUCUAUCUUUGCUGUCAAAAGCAUUAUAAUAUUGUUUUGCAUCUCAAGAAGUGACAUACCUUCUUGGCCUCUCAUCUUUUCCCCCUGGGGCUUGACUGGAGUGCCGGGGUCAUAAGGAAUUCUGUAGAAGCAGCCUUUAUUUUCAGACUCUGCAGGCCUGCUGGGAGGAAACAUAUUACAAUAAACAGAAGAAGGUCAUGGUCCAUUAUCUGCUGCUCCAGAGUCAAGGCCAGGUCCCGCCCCAUGUCACCACGGAGCACAUGAGCAACUGGCUGGUGUCUCAGGGCAAAAAAUCCUUUAGGGAGAGGGUGUGGAAGGAAACCCUGGAGGAGGGAAACGACCUCGCUCGGCUGGCCUGGGAAGUAAACACUUGCCUAAAAAUGAUGGACAUAGAGCACGAGGCUUUCUGCAAGCUCCGCCGCUCCAUGCACUCCACCUCGCCAGCUGACAU
rnacentral:lncRNA from 1 species